AGCCAUUAGAUAAACAAGUACUAAAGGUAACACCUGCCCGGUGAGCAACACUUAAACGGCCGCGAUUAAACGUGCGAAGGUAGCGCAAUCACUUGUUCCAUAAAUCGGGACCCGUAUGAAUGGUCACAUGAAAGAGAAACUGUCUCUUGAAGAAAGCCAGUGAAACUGAUCUGCCUGUACAAAAGCAGGCAUUAUAAAGCUAGACAAAAAGACCCUGUGAAACUUAAAACCAAGCAUUUAAACCAAAAACGCCUAAUUUUUAGUUGGGGCAACUUAAGAAACACAAAACAUCUUUUAAACUUUUAGACCAACAAGUCUAAACAACCAAAAACACAGACCCGGUAUAACCGAUCAAUGAACCAAGCUACUCCAGGGAUAACAGCGCCAAAUUCUUUAAGAGUCCAUAUCAACAAGAAUUCUUACGACCUCGAUGUUGGAUCAGGAUACCCAAACAGUGCAGAAGCUGUUAACGGUUCGUUUGUUCAACGAUUAAAACCCU
rnacentral:rRNA from 1 species